GCAGGAAGUGGAGUGACCCAGCCCCAGCCCGCUCCAUGCUGCCGGCACCCAGCUGCACUGCCGCUCCAGAGGCAGUGAGGCAAUUAAUUUUCUCUCAGAAAGAGGAAGAUGUCUUUUCAAACACAGGAAUGUACCUGUUGGACAAUCAGAGGAGCUACUUCAUUCCUAUGGAC